GUGAAGAAGCAAGGGGGGGGGCAAGUGUAUGCUCUCUCGCUCUCACACGCCUCCCGUCUCCCACCUGCUCAACCAGCCCGCGCCUGGCCGACUUGAUGGCAAGAAAAGGUUCAUUUUAGCCGCAGUCCGACAGCUAGCGGGGUCACUGCGGAUUAACGCUCUGUGACAAAAGCGAGUCAUCGAAUUAAGUGGGUGGAGAGAAGAGGAGCUGGGGGGGUUUGGGUUGGGGAGGGGGCUGGUAAGUGACGAACACUCCUCCAUCUGUGCUCUCUUCCUUCCUUCAUUCAUUCAUUCAUUCCCUUCCUUCUCUGCCCUUCCGCUCGGGGCAGCGAGAGCUGUCAGGGCCGGGGAGCGUCUGUCAGUCAAGCGCUCUAAUCCAAUGGCAUGUCGACGGGGGACAUGUCACAUAUGUUAAGAGGAGAGAACGAGGGGGACUUGCUGGAUGUGUGCGCGCGUUAUUUAAAGACUGGAGGGCAGAGCCCGCUUGCCAGAGAGCGCUGGUACGGCACAGAGGCGGCUGACGGGAGCCAUGGUGACAUCUGAGGCCCGGGACAACUCUGAGUAACCCACCAGUCACUGGGGGGGUCAGGGGAUGGUGAGGGGUAGGGAGGAUGCUACAGAGAGGGCACCAGUGGAGACUGACAGAGUGAAGACUUUCUGGACUUUGUGGCGUACCUGAUGAGGCUGGACACGCCGGAGUGUGCUGGUGAAGUCAAAGUAGAGGGCAGUCUUGGUCACCGACGAAUGGAGGCUCACGUCAUCAUUCUCACAUCUACGGGUGAGCGUUUCGGGGUCUUUGGCGAUAGUGUAGGCCAGGAUAUGGAGCACGCCGCUUGACACCUCUUCCACAGACGAGAGACCUGACGAAAACACACGAACAAAGGUUCAUGCUGAAGAGGCC